GGCUUCGAUCUUGACCUCGGAACUAGAUUUUCGACCUUUCUUCCCCUUUCUGUAAGCAGCAGUGGCCACACUAGACGACAUCGCAGACGCGGUGGUGGUGGAGGAAGAAGAAGUGUUUGAGCUGCCCGCCGCUGAAGAGGCUUGAAGGCCGGAAUGGUCUUGACGAUUUUCUUAUUCUAGAAAAACGAGAAUGGUUAUCUGCCCACCCAACGGAACAUCCCGUCUCAAUUGCCGGCCUCUUCGCAAAGAAAUCCCGCACUCUGAGCACAAGUCACGUGGAAGCUCUGUUUGCAACCGGCUCGGUUACAUUGCAUGCACGCUCCCGUGGCAGCCUUGGAUUCCCGACCUUGUUUCUCGCACAAGUAGCACACCUGAAAACCAGAGGCAAAGAGAGCGAGCAAGUGAAUAUAACUCGUUCGUUAGUCGACCAGUGGAGAUGAAUUCGAUCAAGUGCCAGUCUAAAUCAUUAAGCCACACAUUUCAGAGUCGAAGCAGGUUUCCAAGUACAUAGAAUAUUCAAUAUUAUCGCCGUUUCAUUGGUCCAUCUUUUACUGGUAAGCCAAUGUUUAGGACGGACUAACGAGGAAUAAAAUCUGGCAAUCACGUUGAAGCUUUCCAAACUCAAACUCGAAACCUCCGCUUCGCCAGUUUCACAUGUGUAUAUAUGAAGAUAAAAAUAAAAAUAAAAAUAAAUCAAUAAAUGAUUAUUGGGAAAUUCACUCACCUUUAGGAACCGGUCUUGGGGAAUCAACCCGAGCACGAUGGGCUCCAUGGUGGACACAUUGCCAAAUCUGACUUCUGGAAUGUACAAAGCGCACACAACGUGCGCCCAGCUGUUGGUAUCCGUGCGCUUGAGCGCACCUUCACGGCUAGGACAGAGUUCGCAUCGCUAGAAGAGCACAAUAAUGCGGGUGAAUAAUUGGAUCCGAUCCACCCCACUUACAUUGAUUGGUACACUUACCACACGGGCAGAUCGUUCUUGCGAUUCACAUUUGCGGCAGAACCAAGGGCCAGUGGGCACGGAUACAAUGCCAUAACACGCUAAAAUGAAUGAUGCCGAUUAUUAUGAAAAAAAAAUAAUCAGGUUUGUAUGGAAAAAGGUC